rnacentral:lncRNA from 1 species
AUCAAGAUUCCGUUUUUGCUAACCGUGACCCUCCAAUUGCAGGAUUAGUAGGUACUUAUGGUGGACUAGAUAUUGGAUUUUCUCCCUAUGGCUCCUACUGGCGUGAUAUGCGAAAAGUGUUCGUAAGGGAAAUGCUAAGCAACAAGAACCUUGAGGCCUGUUAUAGCCUUCGGAGACACGAGGUCAGAAAGACAAUCAGAAAUGUGCAUACCAAGAUUGGUAACCCCGUUGACAUUGGUGAAUUGGCCUUUGUGACUGAAAUGAAUGUAGUCAUUAGUAUUAUCUUUGGCAGCAAAUUUGUCGAGGAGACGGAGAAGCGUAGUAAGGAUGGAACUGAAUUCAGGGAAUUGGUGAUGAAAUAUGGUCAAGUGGUGGGAAAGCCUAACAUAUCAGACUUCUUCCCUAUGCUUGCCAGGUUUGACUUACAAGGAAUAAAGAAAGAGAUGGAGGCUCUUUUGAAGUUGGUUGAUAGUAUAUUGGACCCUGCCAUAAGUGAAUGCAUGAAGAUGCUUUCGGACCGAAGAGAGGGUGAAAUCCAGAGGAAUGAGAAGAAACAUCUUAUACAGAUCCUGUUAGAGCUAAUGGAGCAGAAAGACAUUGGUAUAUCACUGGACUUAGUGAAAAUUAAGGCCAUCUUGGUGGUAAGUUAAAUAGUCCCUUUAUCUUUUCUAUAUUGCUUUGUCAGUCAUACGAACUUUUUAAGACUAUUUUAGCUAAUUAUGUGAUUUGAGCAGCUAAGUUAAGAACUCAAAUCCAUUCUCGAAUCACAUAUUAGUCAUGUAUUCAAGCGGUGGAAGCAGCCACUAAUGUUUGCAUUAGGGUAGGUUGCCUAUAUCACACCUCUUGUGGUGCGGCCCUUCUCCAGCCCUGCUAGCGCGGGAUGCUUUAUGCACCGAUCUGUCCUGUUAUUUUUAGUCUUGUAAAGAUAUACCAGACCCACAAGAAGUUACAAGUUCGGCAGAACUAGUAGCUUUGACCUGAACUAUGUACUUAUAGUAAGAAAUUCACUUAAUAUGUAUAAAUAAUUUAUCCAGAACUCAAUAAACAAAAAUAGUUGUGUUUCAGAACUCAUAGACUUAAAAUUCUGGAUCCACCUCUGCCUACAGGUAGAACCAAGCAUUACAAAAUUCCUGCUACAAGUAAUUUCAUUUCCCCUGUCUUCAUAUAUGUUUCUGCAUUGUAGGACAUUGUGAUCGGUGGGACUGACACUACAAUCACAACGGUUGAGUGGGUAAUGUCUGAGCUUCUGAAUAAUCCGGAGAUAAUGUCAAAGGUGCAGCAGGAAUUGAAACAUGUUGUAGGGAUGAAUAACAUUGUUGAAGAAUCCCAUUUACCAAAUCUGCAUUAUCUUGACGCUGUUUUAAAGGAGACGUUACGUCUACACCCUGCAUUACCACUGCUUCUCCCAAAGCGUCCGAGCCAAUCUGCAAUAGUAGGUGGAUACAAAAUACCUGAGGGAACUAAAGUAUUCUUGAAUGUUUAUGCAAUUCAUAGGGGUCCUCAAGUGUGGGAAAGUCCACUAGAAUUCCAACCUGAAAGGUUUUUGAGUCCCUCGACUAAUUUAGACUAUGCUGGAAAUAAUAUGAAGUACCUUCCAUUUGGAUCAGGGAGAAGAAUUUGUGCUGGAAUUCCUUUAGCAGAGAAAAUGCUUAUGUUUAUAUUGGGUUCAUUGCUUCAUUCCUUUGACUGGAAACUCCCUGAGGGAGAAAUCGUUGAUCUUUCGGAGGGAUUUGGACUCGUCCUCAAGAAAAGUGAGAGGCUAUUGGUCAUCCCUACUCCCAGGUUACCGAAUUUCAAGCUAUAUCAGUAAAACCAUGAAACUAUAAGGACCUUGACAUGAUAUUUAUAAUAUCAGAGUACGUAUUUUAAAUAAAACAUGAUGUUGGUUGGUCACUUUCUUUCACCUGUUCAAAGUUCAAACCAAUAUUGGUCACUACUGCAUUAUUGCUGAGGUCUGAGGAGACGAGAUCGCAUUGACCCGUUCAUAUCUUCUGGACUUUCAAAAAUGUCAGCUUGGUGCAUGCAUGUAUCAGAUCCUGAGGAUCAAAUACGGGUAUGACAACAUUCAUUAGUUUGUUGUAAACAAUGAGUGCUGGUAUAACCGGACUUGUCCUUAUUUUUAGGACUACUAAUGUUUGUUUAGUCAAGCUUCCAAAAUCUAUUUAUUUUGAAAAGUAUUUUUUGUUAGAAGUGCUCAUUGAAAGAAGUUAUUUUUUUGGAAUAUAGCAGUUUGUCAAUAUCAUCGAUUUGUGUUUGAUCGAGAUUUCAAAGUGCUUUAGGAGUAAAGCAAUUUUUGUCAACUUAUGCUACUACUCGAAAACACUUAUUUGUAUCCUAAAAGCUUGGUCAGACAACUCAACUCUCUAAAUAAGCACUUAUGGCUUCACCAAAACUUGAUCAAACAGACUAUCAAUCCAAUAGAUACUAGAAACUUUAAUUUUUGUUUCUCCAAAAGAAAAGAAAGAAAAAGAUAAAAGGGUUGUUUUUGGAAAUUUGUGAAACAUCAAAUUGAAACAACAGUUGUUUUACUGUUUUUGCGUUGAAGUUUGAAGCACCAGUAAGGUUAGGGAGGUAUUUUCAUAUUCAUAUUGUGGUUCUUCAGACUUUCAAGAGUCACUUUUGUCUUAUCCAACAUAUUUUUAUUCUUCAAAAUUUGUUUUAUAUAUAUAUAUAUAUAUAUAUGGUACUAGAUUAGGGAACGUGUGUUGCACGUUUAUCCCAAAAUACUUUAUAUUAAUUUUGUAUUGCAAAUGACAUAUUUUAUCCCCUUUAAAUCUAUGGUAUUUACUAAAAAAAAUUCAUCAAUUUUCAGAUAGGAACUACAUAUAUCUUUCUAAAAAAAGAAUAUAUAUUUGAUUAUUAAAUUGACUAAAAGUGUAUAAAGUAAAAAUAACUAACUAUUGCACAAAUUCAAUAUUCAAAAUGAGGAUACUAAAAAUACCACAUGCUAGGCUUAUGUAUACAAAGCAACAAACCAUGGUAAAUUCUCAAUAAUAAUAACUACACAACAUUAGAAAAUUUGUACAAUAACAACAAACAAGAAACAUAAAUAUUAACUAAACAAAUAAAAGGAGACGAGAGAAGAGAGCAUAGAUAUUUUCUCUUUUUUUUUUUGUAAUUGGUUUAAGUGUGUACAUUAUUGUGUCAAAUGUCACUAUUUAUAUGAUAGUAUUGAGAAACACAAAGAGUUGUCAUGAAUAUGAGAUUAAUCCAUUUGAGAUUAUGGUGAGAGAUAGGAGUAAAACCAUAAUAAAUAUAAUCAGGGAGUUACAUAUAUUUACAUAAUGAAGAAUUAGUGGUAAUAAAAUUUAUGUGUACUAAUAUGAUGAUUUGCUAUUUAAUAUUUAAUUAAUUAAAUAAUUUAUAACAUUUAAAUGUAAUGUAUGAGAAAAAAUCUAAGGAUAAAAUUAAAAAAAUUAAAAAUAUUAAAUGUGUAAUGGAAAAUCAUUAUGACUAAUUAUUAAGAAAUUCAUAGCAACUAUCAUUAUGAAAAAUCAUCACUAUUAGUACGUGAAAGAUGUAAAGAUUGUAGAUUUUUUUCUUGCUAAAAAUAACUUACAUAGGAAUGUUAAUUACCAUAAUACCAAGAGUCAAAAUUCAUGGAUCCCAAAAUAAAUAUUAAAUAAAAAAACUAUUUUAAAUAAUUUCAAGAUAAUAAAUUAAUAGUUAAGGGGUAUUUUUGUAAUUCAACUUUUGACUUAGAUUCUUCCCUCUUUUAGUAUAACUAAUUUCUGGACACGUGUCUCAUGCUAAUUAAUAUAGACUUUCUAAAAUGAAAUAUAUAAUACUCUAUUAUAUACUGAGUAUAUACAUGUAUAUACUGAGCAAUUGAACAGUAAUUCAGUUGAAUAGUAGAUUCAAAUGCAACAUAUAUUUGUAAUGUAAUAUUAUUCAUCUGUCAUGUAACAAAAUGAGAUACAUGCUUGGGAGUUAUUCUAUUUCUUCACGAAGAUAGCAACUUUAGGUAUGCUACUAAUAAUGUUUUAAAAAUAAAUAUCUAUACUAAAUUAGAAGUGAGAGGUCACAAAGCAUCCAAAAAUGACACUAAAUGAAACCAAUAAAGUUGGAUUUAAAAUCAGACUCAUGAAAUAUAAACAUACUUAUGAAUUUGGUUCAGUAGCUACUUCCAAAGUGAUAUUUUUUGGAGCAAACUAAAAAUAUAAAGUGUGUGAAAUAAAUAAAAUAAAAAAUAUUAUCUAUACACAUUAUUUCGUAAACACAAGCCAUAUUUAAGUAGUAAACAGAAACUGAACUUGUUCAAAGGGGAAAAUAUAGUAUUACCUUAUGCUGGGCAAAACUCAACAAAUAAGAGGGCAAUAGUAAUAGCUUUUUGUGUAGUCUAACAGAAGAUGAGGAAGAAUAAAAUGAUAAAGAAAUUUGACAGGGUGGUAACUUUAUAAAGUGCAAAGAAUAUGAAAAGGGUAUAGAGUAUUUAACUGAUUGAAGUUUAAAAGACAAAAGAUAUAAAUGCUGUAAUAUGAAAAGUUUGAUACAUUAGUUAAAUGAUCAGGACAAAGUGGUUAUUUUGUAAAUGAUUAGGGAUAUUUUUGUAAUUCAACUUUCAACUAUGGAGUUUCCUACUUUUAGUAUAAAAUAUGAUAUGAUUAGAGUAUUGAGUUUUCCUUGGCAAAAAUGUCUCUUAUUGGUAUGUUAUGUCAUAUAUGUGAUAUUGGUUGUGGUCCCUUCUAACUUCUAAGGUGUUCAAAUAUGACCAAAGCAACCUUUCCUUUUCCCCAAUUUUGGUCACUUCUGCAUUAUUGAUGAGUUGAUGAGAUAGCAUUUGACUUUAACCAUUCCUGUCUUAUCCAAUGUUUUCUAGAUUAAUUCAAAUAUGUCCCUUGGUGCAUAUCAAAUUCUCCAAAAGUAAUGUAUUUUUUGAGGAUCCAACAACAUUUUGGAGAGUCCAAAACAACAUAGGUCUCAUCUUUAUGGUCGCAAAAAUUGGCUUAUUUACUGAUCACACUGUCUAAUCUUAAUUAGUUAUGAUGUGAGAUCUAAAUCUAAUGAUAGAGAAAUAUGGGAUGGUGAAUUGCACCAAGGAUGUGGCAUAGUGAUAAAUGAAGUUAAAGGAGAACUAUGAGGUCUCGGGUUCAAAUUCCAUCGAAGCAAAAAACAUUACUGGUUGUCUGGUUGAUAUACAAGUUACACAAGGAUUACAAUGACUAAUUCGCAUUAUCAACUAACUAAACAAUGUAUAAAAUGAUGUUGAAUUUUAUACAAUUACAGCAAGUAAUUUGUUUCCAUCUGCCUAAACCUUGGUAGACAGAGUUACCUGCAUUAGGAAUCCCCUUUUAUUGACCAGCAACUUCAUCCUUACUUUGCUAGCUUGACACAGACCUUUUGGGCACUACCUUUAAGAAUGAGUACUUAAAAAAGACAGGAUAUAUUGAGCUAAAAUUUAGAGCAAAUUAUUUCAUUGUGAGGUAAAAAAAAAAUUGGUAUCCUUCCAGAGAUUAGUAUUAGAAGUGCUGAAACUGUCUUCACACUAAAUUUGGCUUCUGAACCUUCAAAUGAUCUUUGGAUUGCAGCCCUCACCCUUUCAAUUGUCUUUCUUACAAUUCUAUGGUACAAGUUGAACAAGGAAGAAUCCAGGUUGCCACCAGGGCCUCGUGGCCUUCCGAUUGUGGGAUUCUUACCAUUCCUCCGCGCCAAUUUGCAUCACCAGCUCACAGAGUUGUCUCAACAGUAUGGUCCAAUAUACAAGUUUUGGCUAGGAGGAAAACUAUGUGUUGUGUUGAAUUCACCAUCCUUAGCCAAAGAAGUUGUUCGUGAUCAAGACUCCGUUUUUGCCAACCGUGACCCUCCAAUUGCAGGAUUAGUUGCCACAUAUGGUGGACUAGAUAUUGGAUUUUCUCCCUAUGGCUCCUACUGGCGUGAUAUGCGCAAACUGUUUGUAAGGGAGAUGUUAAGCAACAGGAACCUUGAGGCCUGUUAUAGCCUUCGGAGACACGAGGUCAGAAAGACAAUCAGAAAUGUGCAUACCAAGAUUGGCAGCCUCACUGAUAUUGGUGAAUUAGCCUUUGUAACUGAAAUGAAUGUAAUCAUGAGUAUGAUCUUCGGCAGCAAU